rnacentral:rRNA from 1 species
CAGGCCUAACACAUGCAAGUCGAACGGGAAGCGGUGCAUAUUUGCUUAGGUGAAUUUUGUGUCGUGGAGAGUGGCGAACGGGUGCGUAACACGUAGGUAACCUGCCCCGAAAGGGGGGAUAACCACGGGAAACUGUGGCUAAUACCGCAUGAUCUCGCCGGGACGAGAGUUCGGUGAGGAAAGCUGAGGCGAUUUGGGAGGGGCCUGCGGUCGAUUAGCUGGUUGGUGGGGUAAAGGCCUACCAAGGCGAUGAUCGACAGCUGUUCUGAGAGGAAGACCAGCCACACGGGAACUGAGACACGGUUCCGACUCCUACGGGGGGCAGCAGUGAGGAAUAUUGCGCAAUGGGGGAAACCCUGACGCAGCAACGCCGCGUGGAGGAUGAAGGUUUUCGGAUUGUAAACUCCUUAACUGGGGGAAGAGGAAGGACGGUACCCCAGGACGAAGACACGGCUAACUAGGUGCCAGCAGCCGCGGUAAUACCUAGGUGUCAAGCGUUAUCCGGAAUUACUGGGCGUAAAGGGUGCGCAGGCGGCGAUACAAGUCUGGCGUGAAAGCUCCUGGCUUAACUGGGAGAG